rnacentral:rRNA from 1 species
CCCUUAGAUGUUCUGGGCUGCACGCGCGCUACACUGAUGCGAUCAACAAGUUUUUCCUAUGUCGAUAGACACGGGUAAUCUUUUGAACUCGCAUCGUGAUGGGGAUAGAUUAUUGUAAUUAUUAAUCUUCAACGAGGAAUUCCUAGUAGGUGCAAAUCAUCAGUUUGCAUCGAUUACGUCCCUACCCUUUGUACACACCGCCCGUCGCUGCUACCGAUUGGUUGAUCUGGUGAAUUAUUCGGACUGCCGGCUGAAGGGGUUUCCUCAUCUGCCAGCGGAAAGUCUUGUUAACCCUAUCAACUAGAGGAAGCAGAAGUCGUAACA